AAAAUCGUGGCACAGCUGCCAACGCUCACACAUUGAGUGUGUGACUCACACCGAUUAGUAAAACAAAUCUCACGCAAUUUUCGAAACUCUGGGCAGUUUUUGUCGGUUUGUAAUCGAUAGAUAUAUUAGAAUAAGCAGCUAUCUAAAACACAUUGUGAUUUGUUGACCGACUGGAUACAACACAUUUUCUGCCAAUCAUAGUGCGCCUCCGUUUCUGCCGCUCCAUGCAGCUGCUGUCAGGGAAACAUGAACUACAAUACUUGAAGCAAGCUGUGGUAGUGCGAGUUGGACUGUAUUAAUUGAGAAGUAUUGUUCCCGAAGACUACAGCAGACAGCGAGGAUGAGCAGAUCCUAGGAUAUCAAGAUCAUCAGUGAGACUGAGAGUUUAGAGAACGCACCGAACAGCAGGGGAGUGUUGAGCUCUGAAGAUGAGGUCACUGCUGCUUGUCUGCCUGCUUGUGGUCACACUGACUGUGGCUAUUGCUGCCCCCACACAAGAGGAGGAGGAAGGUAGGUAGAAAUAGAGUUGCAAGGACACAUGGGAAUGAAGCCAGUUACGAUUCUUCAGCCUCACUGUCAGUUAAAGCCAGGGGGAGAGGAGAAAGCUUAGACCUGGAAGUUUUGCUGCUGUAACAUUAUUAGACAACGCAGAAAGGACAACCUGCUCAAGAGAAAGCACCCCUGGUGGAGUAUUUCAGUCAAUACAUUCAUGUUUUGUAUUUACUGGCAACAAGUUACAUCCAGAAAUUACAGUCAUUACUGAGGUCAGUAAUCCCUGUAAGUGGUCGCAAUGAUUUUGUUAAGAUUAGAAUUGGGACUAUGGUUAAGGCAGUAAAAUAAAAUAAUACAAAAGUAUUUGGUAACAUCUUAUGAACAUGGUUUAACUGGUAAUCACAGAUUUGUUAAUAAAAUCCUUAACAGGGAUAUUAAUGUGUUUGUUUUAUGAGAACAAAGGCCUCCUUUCUGAUUACUUUCAAUGUAAAAACCAGAUAAGUAGAUAUUUCAUUUCUCCACACUUCAUUUUAACUUUUUCUUUAAGGUUAACAGUGUAAAACCAAGAAGAGAUAAACCUAGCAAGACACCAACCUUGCAAGACCGCACAGGAUGAGCAAGCUUAAGCUGGUGUAUUAGAAACCUCCCAGUCCCGAGCAAUUGGUUCAGUAGUCAUUACUCCACCAGCAGUAGACUCUCUUUUUACCAGAUGAUCUAUUUCAAGCUCCAUGCAUAAGUAGCAGAAAUCAGCCUGAUUACUGUAGUGUAAAUGAUUAAAAUAUGUAAACUGUUUUCUCUCGAUUAAUGAUUUUCUGUAGGUUUAAAAUAGAUUAAGGUAGCACUACAUAGAAGUGGUUUAUAUAUAACUAACAGUAAAGACAUUAAAAAGGUAAGAAAUGUGAAUCAUUGGGAAUUCUGUUGGAAUAAACCUUUAAUAGUUCAAAAUAUUUCAAAACUGCAAACUUAUCUAUAUAGCAGUUCAUAGCAAAAAAACAUUCCUUUGGCACACAAUGUUCCAACUCUAAGUCUUUACUUCUAUUCAUUGUAUGUAGGCAUAUCCACUGUAUGAUAUUUUGUGAUCUGAUUUAGAUACCCAAAAUAUCUUAAUCAGUCAAACCAUACAGCUUAUAUACAGAAGAUAUCUUAACCAGUAUGAAGGGUUGGGGAUUCUGAUAAUGCUGGGGAAAGGAACAUGCUCUCUUGCUCAGAUACAACUGUUGCCUACUAAGUUAUCAACCAUGUAAAGAUAUGGAUCUUUGGUAAGUUUUACUAAAAGGGUUUCUGACCUCCAGCCAAUGAAUCCAUAGAAAUGUUUGCAUUACCCCCUUUUUUGAUAUAUAAUGGUGUAUGCUCUUGUUGGGAAUGAAGAUUAUAAAUGUAUGAUUGAGCUGACAUCAAGGUAGUGUGUGUUACAUUCAAAAUACAUAUUAAUGUGACACAGAAUAGUUAAUUCAGUUAAAGGGUAAAGGGUGCUAUUCAAUCAAGCUUUCAGACAUAGGAUGUUGGAAUAGCAAAAACUGUUUUUGAAAUCCCUUUUCUUACCACUUUUUAGCACCAGUAACAUUAUCACUCGUCCCAGAAAAAAAAAGUUUAAGAUUUGUAUGGGUUUUUUUUUUUUUUGCUUGUAUUUUAUUCUUGAAUUUGUAAUAUAGAUAUAUUUAAGGGCAAUGUUAUAAAAGUAAAAGUUGUGCUACUUCCUGGUUCGAAUUACCGUUGUGUUGCAAUUCAGUUUCGCUCCAUUGAACGAUGUUGCAAUUCAGUUUCACUCCAUUGAACUGUGUUGCAAUUCAGUUUCACUCCAUUGAACUGUGUUGCAAUUCAGUUUCGCUCCAUUAACUUCAAUCAGAACAUGUAACAUUACCGCACAGGAAGUCGUUCGAGACCAGGAAGAAAAAAAUUGCAUUUUUAAAAUACAUAUCUAGAGCAAUUUUGAGCAAUAUGCCCUCAGUGGAAAAUAUGCACCCUUGUAUCUUUUAAUAAAAAAUACGGGCCUUCUACAGUAGUGUGGCAAAGAAAUAAAAACAAACGCCUUUCAACCGUGCUCUUAUUCCUUUUACUUUCAACAAAACAUUGUCACUACAGGUCAACUAAACAGAAAUACGCUUACUGUUGGCAUACAUCUUAAAAUAAUGGAAUAAUAAAAACAAUAUUAAGAAUUCUUCACUGAUCAUUCUCCAACAUAUUUUUGUGAGCUUUCUGGGCACCACUGUACAGCAAAUGAGAACUCUCAAAAGCAGGUUGUAUCAUACUUGUUCAGACUACACAGUUAAUACUUGUCCUUAGGGCCAUAUUCCUUCUGUUCACAAAAAUAUUUCAUCGCAUGUAAACAUACGGUCGAAUGGCAAGUGAUUAAUUUACACAAAGGUUUUCACACCAAUAAUGUGCAGAACAAAGUGUAAUAGUAACAAGGUGCUUGCACACUAGUACAAUAAGGCACUAUGUAGAGUUUGCGCUCUUUGCAAGCAACCCAUUAUAAUUACAAUCCAAUUAAAUAAAUGACAAAUUACAAACAACACAAUGACAAGUGUUUUUUUUUUUUCAAAUGAGCAUAAAAACCUUUGACAGACUUCAGACAAUCACCCAUAAACACAGUUACUCGGGUCUAUAAACGAUGAGCGAUAUUUAUUUAUUUGGCAAAGUUUUAGGGUUUUUUUUUUUUUUUUUUUUUCUGCCGGGAGCUUCGACGUUCAAAAGUGUAAAGCUUACCUGAAAUCAUACAAAUCGCCCAAAAUGUUCAUAAACCCAAAAAGAAAUUAACAAUAUAUUUACUGUAGUGAAAUAUUCAUAGGCUCAACUUCCCAAUCAAAACACAUUCCACUAAAGCCUCAAGCCAAUAGAGAUACUUUUGUUUAUGCGUUGCAACAUUUCAGUAUGAAGUUUUGAUUACCAUAUCAUGGCUUUGAAGCGCAGGCAUGUGGCAUUGCUGGUGAGCAUACUAACAUUAGGUUACUUACCAUAACCCUGGUUCCCUGAAAGAGAAGACGACCACCAACAAUACGUAUGGGAUAUGCCUGC